AAAAAUUGUAGGCGCAAGAAACUUGGAAUUGCUAUAUCAGCAUGAGAAAGACAUGUUUGGCAAGGAACACUAUCAGAGACAGAACAAGAGGCCUUGUUCAUAAUGAUGAUAUCACCAAUUAAGGACUCUAAACAUGAGCACAGAAAAGAUCCUCAAAUAUAUUAGGUAACUGAAUAAAUAAACCUGAGAAAAUAAACUCUUGCAUGGGCUUACUACAUCCUUCCUCUUACCACAUCCAAUUCACAUUGCAAGGAAAUCUAAAGUCAUCACAAGCUCCUGGUGUGAUUUAAACAGAAGUGCAAUAUCAGUCACCAAAAGAAAAAUCACACAGCCAUUCACUUUUUGUCUCUCAAAGUCCAUAUCCUGGAAAUGAUUGAAGACUGCAUGGCAAGUUUAUUUUAGUUUAUUUGGAGAGUUAUGUACAUGCCAAAGUCCAGUGCUCUUUCAGAAGAUCACUUAGGACAAGCACAUUUGGAGAUUAAAAUUUUAAACAGAUUUCUUUGUCAACAGAAGUAUUUCUGGUAAAUAAUUUUCUCUCUGACUUUACUAAAAAAUUAACACCUCCUGAUUCCAGUAGGACUGGGAAUACUGCUUCCACUGCUCUGUUGCAGGAAUGAUUGAUAAGAAACUGGCAUGAGGUCAGCUUGACUUAUUGUGAAUUAAUAGAAGGAAACAAUUUUCUCCCUUUGAACUUAUCUCCAUAAAGUCUCCUCUUGAGGAUCACCUGUUUGUACUCAAUGGCCUUUCAGGAGCUCCUAGAUCAAGUUGGUGACCUGGGGAAAUACCAGAUCCUUCAGAUGGUUUUAAUUUUUCCCACUUUGAUGAUGCUAUUAUGUCAAAUAUUUUUGGAGAACUUCACUGCAGCCAUUCCUGGUCAUCGCUGCUGGGUGAACAUCCUUGACAAUGACACAGUUUCUGACAAUGAUACUGAGAUCCUCAGUCCUGAUGCCCUCCUGAGAAUCUCCAUCCCAAUGGACUCAGACUUGAGGCCGGAUAAAUGUCACCGCUUUAUCCAUCCCCAGUGGCAGCUUCUUCAUGUGAAUGGAACCUUCACCAACAUGACUGAGCCAGACAAAGAGACCUGUCUGGAUGGCUGGGUGUAUGACCAAAGUUCCUUCCCCUCCACCAUCAUUACUGAGUGGGACCUAGUAUGUAGUUAUCAGUCACAGAAAUCAGUUGUUCAAUUCCUAUUCAUGACUGGAAUGCUGGUGGGAGGACUCAUAGGUGGUCAUCUCUCAGACAGGUUUGGGAGAAAGUUGAUUCUCAGGUGGUGUUUACUGCAGCUUACCAUCUUUGGGACCAGCGCAGCUUUUGCCCCCACCUUCCUCAUAUACUGCUUACUAUGCUUCUUAUCAGGUUGUGCUUCCGUAAUCAUCCUGAUAAAUGGCCCUCUGCUCAUUAUAGAGUGGAUAAGGCCCUCGUCUAAAGUCAUGGCAAUCACCCUGAUGAGCUGUGCCUUAAGUUUGGGACAGAUGAUCCUGGGAGGACUGGCAUUUCUCUUUCGAGGGUGGCGCACUCUGCAGCUGGUGGUCUCUGUACCUUUCCUUGUCAUCUUUUUCUCCUCAAGGUGGCUGGUGGAACCUGCUCGGUGGCUGAUUAUCAACAAUAAACCAGAGGAGGGCUUAAAGGCACUUAGAAAAGUUGCACAUAUAAAUGGAAUGAAGAAUGCUGGAGACAUCCUGACCAUGGAGAAAUGCAGACCCUGCGUGUGGCUUUGGCAAGUGCGGGAAUCAGCUUUGCUGCUGCUUCUUCCACUAGUUUUUCUAUCCACUUGAUUGAGCUCAUCCCCACAGUUCUCAGGGCAAGAGCUUUAGGAUUAGACACACUGGCUAGUAGGUGUGGGGCAGUACUGGCUCCCCUCCUGAUGACCUUAAUGGCAUAUCUUUCCAUUUUGCCCUGGAUCAUCUAUGGAGUCUUUCCCAUCAUGGCUGGUCUUGCUGUCCUCCUCCAACCUGAAACCAGGGAAAUGCCUCUGCUUGACACCAUCCACGAUGUAAAAAAUAACAAAGAAUUCUCAAGAAAAGUAAAAGAAAUAAAUUCCUCUGUAAAAAUGACAAAAGUUUAAGAUAUUUUCAGGAACUGACUGGUGAGGAAAAAGAAAACUAUGAAAGAAAAACAAAAUACAGAAAUUUCCUUUUAUAUCUACAAACUAGCAAGAAAAUAUUACUGGAAAAUUAAUCUCAUUUACAUUUAUUGCAUUAAUUUGCAGUUUAAGAAAUAAUUUUUGGGAACACAUAAUUCUAUGAACAAUCUAAUAUCUUUGGGAAAGUUUCAAAUUUAUGGGUAAAUCAUUAAUACACAAAAUAAUUCAGAAACAAAGUAAAACCAUGGAAUUAAUAUGUAGCUGGCUGGGAGAGAGAAAAGGGGUUACGUAAAUGUGGAUAUUAAGGAGGGAACUUGUGAUGAGCACUGGCUGUUGUAUGUAAGUGUUGAAUCACUAUAUUGUACAUCUGAAAUUAAUAUCACAUUAUAUGUUAAUCAACUGGAAUUUAAAUAAAAGCAUGGAAGAAAAA